rnacentral:hammerhead_ribozyme from 1 species
GCACUACUGAGGAGUCCCACAACAGGACGAAACGGCCGUCCAAUGC